GAUGAACGCUGGCGGCGUGCUUAACACAUGCAAGUCGAACGAAGCAUUUAGGACAGAUUACUUCGGUUUGAAGUUCUUUAUGACUGAGUGGCGGACGGGUGAGUAACGCGUGGGUAACCUGCCUUGUACUGGGGGAUAGCAGCUGGAAACGGCUGGUAAUACCGCAUAAGCGCACAAUGUUGCAUGACAUGGUGUGAAAAACUCCGGUGGUAUAAGAUGGACCCGCGUCUGAUUAGCUAGUUGGUGAGAUAACAGCCCACCAAGGCGACGAUCAGUAGCCGACCUGAGAGGGGGACCGGCCACAUUGGGACUGAGACACGGCCCAGACUCCUACGGGAGGCAGCAGUGGGGAAUAUUGCACAAUGGAGGAAACUCUGAUGCAGCGACGCCGCGUGAGUGAAGAAGUAAUUCGUUAUGUAAAGCUCUAUCAGCAGGGAAGAUAGUGACGGUACCUGACUAAGAAGCGCCGGCUAAAUACGUG
rnacentral:rRNA from 1 species